rnacentral:rRNA from 1 species
AAAGAUUAAGCCAUGCAUGUCUAAGCACAUGCCUUAAUACGGUGAAGCCGCGAAUAGCUCAUUACAACACCCACCGUUUACUAGAAUAUAGUUAUCCUACUCGGAUAACUGUGGCAAUUCUAGAGCUAAUACAUGCAAAAAAGCUCUGCCCGCAAGGAACGAGCGCAUUUAUUAGAAUAAAAACCAAUCGGGUUUCGGCCCGUAAUUUGGUGAAUCUGAAUAACUUUGCCAAUCGCACAGUCCUAGUACUGGCGAUGUAUCUUUCAAGUGUCUGCCUUAUCAACUUUCGAUGGCAGGUUAUACGCCUACCAUGGUAGUAACGGGUAACGGAGAAUAAGGGUUCGACUCCGGAGAGGGAGCCUGAGAAACGGCUACCACAUCCAAGGAAGGCAGCAGGCGCGCAAAUUACCCACUCCUGAUUCGGGGAGGUAGUGACGAAAAAUAACAAUACGGGACUCAUUCGAGGCCCCGUAAUUGGAAUGAGAACACUUUAAAUCCUUUAGCGAGGAUCCAUUGGAGGGCAAGUCUGGUGCCAGCAGCCGCGGUAAUUCCAGCUCCAAUAGCGUAUAUUAAAGUUGUUGCAGUUAAAAAGCUCGUAGUUGGAUCUCGGGUCCGAGCUGGCGGUUCGUUUCGCGACGACACUGCCCAUCCCGGACCUACCUGCCGGUCGUCUCGUCGUGCUCUUCGCUGAGUGCGUCGAGUGGCUGGAACGUUUACUUUGAAAAAAUUAGAGUGCUUAAAGCAGGCGAAAUAGCCUGAAUAAGGUGCAUGGAGUAAUGGAAUAGGACCUCGGUUCUAUUUUGUUGGUUUUCGGAACCCGAGGUAAUGAUUAAGAGGAACAGACGGGGGCAUUCGUAUUCCGGCGCUAGAGGUGAAAUUCUUGGACCGCCGGAAGACGGACGACUGCGAAAGCAUUUGCCAAGAAUG